UACGAAGGGUGCAAACGUUGUCCGGAAUUAUUGGGCGUAAAGGGCGCGUAGGCGGCUCUGCACGUCCGUUGUGAAAUCGCCCGGCUCAACUGGGCGGGGUCAGCGGAUACGGCAGAGCGUUGAGCAAGGCUAGGGGCAAUGGAAUUCCCGGUGUAGUGGUGGAAUGCGUAGAUAUCGGGAGGAACACCAGUGGCGAAGGCGGUUGCCUGGG
rnacentral:rRNA from 1 species